rnacentral:sRNA from 1 species
UUAGAGGAAGUAAAAGUCGUAACAAGGUCUCCGUUGGUGAACCAGCGGAGGGAUCAUUACUGAGUUACCGCUCUAUAACCCUUUGUGAACAUACCUAACCGUUGCUUCGGCGGGCAGGGGAAGCCUCUCGCGGGCCUCCCCUCCCGGCGCCGGCCCCCACCACGGGGACGGGGCGCCCGCCGGAGGAAACCAAACUCUAUUUACACGACGUCUCUUCUGAGUGGCACAAGCAAAUAAUUAAAACUUUUAACAACGGAUCUCUUGGUUCUGGCAUCGAUGAAGAACGCAGCGAAAUGCGAUAAGUAAUGUGAAUUGCAGAAUUCAGUGAAUCAUCGAAUCUUUGAACGCACAUUGCGCUCGCCAGCAUUCUGGCGAGCAUGCCUGUUCGAGCGUCAUUUCAACCCUCAAGCACCGCUUGGUUUUGGGGCCCCACGGCACACGUGGGCCCUUAAAGGUAGUGGCGGACCCUCCCGGAGCCUCCUUUGCGUAGUAACUAACGUCUCGCACUGGGAUUCGGAGGGACUCUUGCCGUAAAACCCCCAAAUUUUUUACAGGUUGACCUCGGAUCAGGUAGGAAUACCCGCUGAACUUAAGCAUAUCAA